rnacentral:lncRNA from 1 species
GGCAGGACGGUGACUGAAGGGCAGGGGGUGUUUCUCCUUGCUCUGAGGUGCGUCCCAAGGACGCUGCUUCCCUCCCUCCUUCCUUCCCGGUUGCUCUCCCGAGGGAGAGCUUUCCCCUGCAGCAGGGUUCGCUGUGGAGGUGCCUGUUCCUGGCUGGCCGUUGGCGUGCUGGAAGCCCUUUGGCUUUGUGGAGGGGGGCCGUCCUGAGACGGGCAGGUGGGCAGCGGGGAGAUGACUCUGAAGGGGCUGAUGCAGCUCUGUUGUUUUAACUGAAUCUCUUAGGUGGAAAAGAGCCUGGAUGUGGCCCUCGGCUAUGGGCUGUGGAGAAACAUGGAGGAGGCUGGCGCGGGUCCCUCAUCGGGACACGUGCGUCCCCCCGCUGGGACACUGCGCUCUGCAACCCUUGCUGCUGCCACAGGGCACCCGUGCUGCGGGGCAGGUGGAGUCCUGCAGCGGACGUGGAAACGGUUUUCCUUGAGGGAAUGCCUUUUUCUAUGCCAGACAAAUGGCAACGACAGAUGGGACAUAACAGUGUUGGAGGCAUGCAAUGUUGGCAGAAACCAAAAUUACGAAAAUCCACUUUCCAACAACUUGGAGCACAUGGAGUACCACCAACAGGUGUGUCCCAAGGCAAUGAGAGUCUUUGUUGCUGCUCAUCUGAUUAAACUGACCACCAAGACAAUUCUAGUGGAAGAGGUCAUCAAAAAGCUUCUUGCCACCUGGACGGUUCCUGUUCCCAGGGGGAAGAAGCACAAGCUGUGCAGAUGGUGUUGAAAAGAUCUACGUUGCUACAUAACCUCUAUGGAAUCAGUACAUUGUCUUUUAUCUGGGUUCCUCUUUUCAUCACACUUGAAGUUACGUGAAGUGUAGCAUACGCUAGAAGCAGAGUUCCCCAGUAUUCGAAGAGGAGUAAUAAAUUUUCUGCAGAUUGUUUAAAUCUUUAUUUC